CCGAGAGAAAGCUGCAGAAAACAGUCUAGGAAAAAUCGGACUAGGGAAAAACAUUGACCGAACAUUGUGGGACGAUGUGGAAAAUACGAAACCUGAAGAAAAAGGGCCAGAGUACUCUACAUAGGAGGAGGAAGAAACAGAUUGAAAGAGAAAAAGAUGAGAUGAGAAGGAACGAGAAUGUAAAAGAGAAGCCAGAGAGGGAAUCAGGGAGUGGUACAACAGCGAACCGUCAAGGAGGGGGGCAUGCGUGGGGUUAGAGAGAGAGAGGGAGAUAGAGGGAGCAUGAAAAACGAGAAAGAGCGAGAACAAGACAAAGUCGAGUGGAGCGGGGAGAGAAGGGGAGGAGAAGGAUAAACGGAGGGUGAAUGGGUGGGUGGAAGGGAGAAGAAACAUGCCAGAGGACGAUGAACUCUGGCGGUAGGCAGCUUCCGUCGCCUGGCAACGUUCUCCUCCCUUUUCCUCCUCCUCUCUCUGAGGCUCCAAGCCGUUAUGUCGUGGUAUCGUACGUAGGCAGUCCUCGUCAUGGACGUAGUAGUCGUGUCAUCGUCUUCGUCAGUGACGAUCAUGGUAGUCGUUGUUGUAUUUUCACGUAGUCGUGCCUCGCAGCUUGCGCUGCGUAUUGAUCGUACGGGAUGCUGCUGCUAGCUGCUGCUGGUUGCUGGCUGCUCCAGCGCCGGCUAACAGUGAGCUUUAGCCACAGCCCUACACCAAGGACCAAUAGGACCACCAAUUUCUCUCUCUCUCUCUCUCUCUCUUGACUUUCUACUCUGCUUGUAUCUACCCAUUAUAGUUGCCCAAAAAUGAAAGUAAAUGUAACAAACUAUUGUUACUUUAUCUUUUUAGAUGCUAAAAAAACUUCUGAUUGAUUAAUUUGAUAGGUGUGGUAGUUGGAUGAUUAUAGAAAAACAUAGAGAUGUGAUAAUGAAUGUUCUUUCAUACUGUUUCAUUUCUUGGAACCGUAGAAGAAUAUAAUAACUAUUUGUAUUUAGAAGAGAAAAUGUGUCCAAGUUGAAAUUGAGAAAUGUUACAGACAUUAAAAUAAUACAAAAUACUAUGAUACAUAAAUGCAGAAGAUUCAUAUAGAGAUGAUAAUGACAUAAAGAUCUAAAUAUAUACAUAAAAUGCAUGAGAAAAUUCUGGCCAUAAUUUUAUACGAUAUCGUUCACAUACUCUAAAUCCAUUAGCCAUGCAUCACAUGUGCUACAUGUGUGCAAAAUGUGAACAUCAAAUCAAUGACCCUACCGUAUCUUCUCCCCAUCAAACGUCGAACCUUCGUCUAAUUAUAUCGCAAUAUAUCUCAAAAUAACCCAACUUCAUCAUCAGCUAACUACACCUAUCACUUGUACCAAUACUACGCUCUUUCUUUACCAUAUAUAAAAUAGGAAAGCGACAUGUUUCACAACAUAACCAUAUUUCUUCCACUAGACACGAGACAUACAAAUGAGGUACAAAUACAUCUAACUCAUGACACGACAAUAAUACAUUGGCUUCCAAAAGGAUUAAAAGUAAUGUAUGGAGCAUACAAAGGGAACAUAAAUACGUCCACAACAUUUCUAUUGUUCGCCAAUUGCAAGAGGAAAGCGCGCGUUCACCGACACCUACACGUCGUGCAGAAAUGUCGGACGGCUAUCAAUGGUUGGAACACGUCGUCUCGAUGAAAAUACCAGCGAGAGGUGAAUGGUUCGCGGCACGUGAAAAUAGUUUCACUACACAAGGCUAUGUCGUAAAGUCGGCCGCUACCGCGAAGAACCGAUCGAGCCGAAAAUGAAAGCAAACGCGAGCCGUGACUGCCAAGUCCAACGAACCUGCCACUUGGCAGCCGACGUCCGUGCUCAAGAGUGUCUUUAAUACACUGAACCCGCUAAACCUAAAUCCAUUUUAACCGCGGAGUGUCGGUGCCCGAUGUUGGCACAGAAAACUGUCACUGGCAUCCAUGAAAUUGCAGGUGAUCCGUUCGACACGGUUACCGAUGAAUCAGCCAAUUUUCUUGAAUGAAGUUUCUUUCUUACCCCGUGUUAACGAGACUCGUUGGUUUAGGGGAUGGAUAGGACGAUUCUAAUCGGACGUGAAACACAUACACGAAAUUAUUAUUUGAUGUACAGGGAUGAGUCACGUUUAUGACUCACGAGGGAAUAGAUGCACAGGGUGUAAUUCAUGCAUGAGCACCGUUGCAACUAAGUUUACAAAGAGUCUUGCCGUAAUUUAUAGCCACGUAAUACGUGAAGAACUACUUUGAGAGAAUGACAGCGAAGGGAAGUUGUAAAGCAGAAUAUGUCAUUGAUAGUUUAUAGUUACAAGUCGUUAAAUGUGGCACGAGGUUUGUAGAAGGAAAGUGUCAAAACAUGAGGUGUGAAGAAGACAUUUUGUAUAGCUAAAUGUGUCCUACUUUUCUAUAACAUGUUUUUUACACGCCCUUUUAAAAUUAAAUUAAUGGCUACAAUCUUAUUGUAAUUUCAUAUAAUGCACUUGUAAUCUUAUCCACUAGAAUCUCUUUUUUGCUAAUGAAACUGGUGACUAAUGAAACGUAAGAUAAUAUACAGCGUUAUAAGGA